CAAUGGCUGUACUAAGAAAAAUACCUACUUCAUGUUCCAGUUUACAGAGUAGCUACAUUUCAGGCUGUGAAAACUGUAGUCUAUAUACUUAUUUACAUUACUUAAAUAUCUUAAUUAUAACAUUACGAAGUUUAAAGCUGAAUGUUAAAAGACCAAGCUGAGAAGUAUGCAUUGAAUUAAA